CUGGAGUCAAAGUGGCAGAAUCUGCAAACUUGUAGCGAUUCUGUCUCAAAAACUCCUAAAGAAAAGCCACAAGACGAACGGCAUCCUGAAUAGUUCCUCAUAUUAUAUCAGAUGACUUGUGUUCGACUACA
rnacentral:snoRNA from 1 species